rnacentral:rRNA from 1 species
UACAGAGGGUGCAAGCGUUGUUCGGAAUUAUUGGGCGUAAAAGCGCGUGUAGGCGGCAGUGCAAGUCGGGUGUGAAAGCCCUCAGCUCAACUGAGGAAGUGCGCCCGAAAACUGCAUUGCUUGAGUACCGGAGAGGAUGGUGGAAUUCCCGAAGUAGAGGUGAAAUUCGUAGAUAUCGGGAGGAACACCGGUGGCGAAGGCGACCAUCUGGACGGAUACUGACGCUGAGACGCGAAAAGCGUGGGGUAGCAAACAGG